UACGUAGGGGGCAAGCGUUGUCCGGAUUUAUUGGGCGUAAAGGGUGCGUAGGCGGCGCGGUAAGUCGGGUGUGAAAUCUUGGAGCUUAACUCCGAAACUGCAUUCGAUACUGCCGUGCUUGAGGACUGGAGAGGAGACUGGAAUUUACGGUGUAGCGGUGAAAUGCGUAGAUAUCGUAAGGAAGACCAGUGGCGAAGGCGGGUCUCUGGACAGUUCCUGACGCUGAAGCACGAAGGCCAGGGGAGCAAACGGG
rnacentral:rRNA from 1 species